rnacentral:lncRNA from 1 species
GCCAGCUUACCCUAUUUGCAUAUUUUCUGAUAAAAAAUGCCUAGAACCUGUUUAAAACUGUUUUGAUAAUAUAUUGAAAUCAUAUCAGAAUACUAUAUAUGUAAGGUUUAGCAGUCAAUCAUUACAACAUUCAAGAUUAUAUAAAGUAUCCAAUCCAGCCUCUAUCUCCAGUCCACAUCUUACUGUAUGCCUAUUUGUCAAUUAAG